rnacentral:tRNA from 1 species
GCGGUGGUGGCAGAGAGGCCGAAUGCGACGGCCUUAAGAGCCGUUUGUCCUGCUACGGGCGUCGUGGGUUCGAAUCCCACCCACCGCA